rnacentral:rRNA from 1 species
AUGUUUCCAAACAAUGUCGUCCUCAACGUGAUCGUCAAGACGGAAGUCAUGCACAAGAGCCCAAAGCGAGAAAAGUUCCCGAAUGUGUGCGACGAAGACAAUAGUGUCAUGCUUUAUGUGGGUCAUCCAAGCGUUCCCUCGAAGGGCCUGACGAAGCGUCGAUCUCUUCCUUUUUUAGACUUGAAAAAUAAGAGGGGCAAUAUUCUUGGGCUUGCGACCAAGCAACCACGGGGAGUCCCAGAACGGUGUUUUUGCACCAUUGCCAACGAUGAUUGUGGUGGAGGCAUAGAAGAAAUUCAUAUCUUCCUCGGUGCACAGGUUGCCCAAGCCAACCCAAAGCUUGGUAGGCUCCUUUCAUUCGUACCAUGGCCACCUUAG